UGCCGUAAUCUCAGAACAAACACAUUCCCUGUUAAACAAAUUGCGAUUUGGUAGCUUUGUGUUAAGCAAAUGUUUUUUUAAAUGAACGUGAAAGCGCCGUGGGCUGCCUGUACGCGCGAGCGUCACGCAUUUCCCCAGUCAAGCUGUUUCCGUUGAUGAGUUUUUAAAAAACGCAGUAAUGUUUGGAACCGACAUUACAAAUUCUUCACAAACGUGAGGUUCGUUUGGUCUUUUGAAAAUUUUCACUCCACGCGGGACAUUAGGACAGAUGUUUUUUCGGGGGCAACUUGAGCCCGACCAUCUGCCGCUGUAAGAGCUUCACCUGGAGCCCGAGGACGCUCGCGCCGCUUGGCUGUGAGUAAAGAUCUGCAGACUCCAGAACCCGCCUCUGCAACGCGUCCAUCCAUCCGCAGUUCGGAGACGCCGGUGAAAGUUUGGCAAUGAGCAGAGGGAGGGGUCAAAGGACAGCUGGGGGGUCAGCGGGAUGGCCGGCCCGGGUCGCCCUGUCCCC